rnacentral:rRNA from 1 species
AUGUACAAGCCUACAACAUAGCGUUAAUGCACCAGAUCCCAUUAGACUCUACACUUAAGCCCGCUCAGGCUAGAGUAGUACUAGGAUGGGUGACCACUCGAGAAGUCCUAGUGUUUUACAUG